UACAGAGGUCUCAAGCGUUGUUCGGAUUCAUUGGGCGUAAAGGGUGCGUAGGCGGCCGUGCAAGUCUGGCGCGAAAGCCCCGGGCUCAGCCCGGGAAGUGCGCUCGAAACUCGCGGCUCGAGUGCCGGAGGGGAGAGUGGAAUUCCUGGGUGUAGCGGUAGAAAUGCGUAGAUAUCAGGAGGAAUACCGGUGGCGAAAGCGACUCUCUGGAACGGCAA
rnacentral:rRNA from 1 species